rnacentral:rRNA from 1 species
CCUACGGGAGGCAGCAGUGAGGAAUAUUGGUCAAUGGACGCGAGCCUGAACCAGCCAAGUAGCGUGAAGGAUGACUGCCCUAUGGGUUGUAAACUUCUUUUAUAAAGGAAUAAAACGAGGCACGUGUGCCUUUUUGCAUGUACUUUAUGAAUAAGGAUCGGCUAACUCCGUGCCAGCAGCCGCGGUAAUACGGAGGAUCCGAGCGUUAUCCGGAUUUAUUGGGUUUAAAGGGAGCGUAGAUGGGUUGUUAAGUCAGUUGUGAAAGUUUGCGGCUCAACCGUAAAAUUGCAAUUGAUACUGGCAGCCUUGAGUACAGUUGAGGUAGGCGGAAUUCGUGGUGUAGCGGUGAAAUGCUUAGAUAUCACGAAGAACCCCGAUUGCGAAGGCAGCUUACUAAACUGCGACUGACAUUGAUGCUCGAAAGUGUGGGUAUCAAACAGGAUUAGAUACCCGAGUAGUC